UUAAGUGAAUAAGGGCGCACGGUGGAUGCCUUGGCACUAGGAGCCGAUGAAGGACGGGACUAACACCGAUAUGCUUUGGGGAGCUGUACGUAAGCUAUGAUCCAGAGAUUUCCGAAUGGGGGAACCCAACAUCUUUAAUAGGAUGUUACGAUUGUGUGAAUACAUAGCACAUUCGAGGUAGACGCAGAGAACUGAAACAUCUAAGUACCUGCAGGAAGAGAAAGAAAAUUCGAUUCCCUGAGUAGCGGCGAGCGAAACGGGAAAAGCCCAAACCAGCAAGCUUGCUUGUUGGGGUUGUAGGACUCCAAUAUGGUAGUUCUUUCAGAUAGUCGAAUGACUUGGAAAAGUCAGUCAAAGAGGGUAAAAACCCCGUAGACGAAAUGUGGAAGACACCUAGGAGGAUCCUGAGUACGGCGGAACACGAGAAAUUCCGUCGGAAUCCGGGAGGACCAUCUCCCAAGGCUAAAUACUCCCUAGUGACCGAUAGUGAACCAGUACCGUGAGGGAAAGGUGAAAAGCACCCCGGAAGGGGAGUGAAAUAGAACCUGAAACCGUGUGCCUACAACAAGUCAAAGCCCGUUAAUGGGUGAUGGCGUGCCUUUUGUAGAAUGAACCGGCGAGUUACGAUUGCAUGCGAGGUUAAGUUGAAGAGACGGAGCCGCAGCGAAAGCGAGUCUGAAUAGGGCGUUUGAGUAUGUAGUCGUAGACCCGAAACCAUGUGAUCUACCCAUGUCCAGGUUGAAGGUGCGGUAAAACGCACUGGAGGACCGAACCCACGUACGUUGAAAAGUGCGGGGAUGAGGUGUGGGUAGCGGAGAAAUUCCAAACGAACUUGGAGAUAGCUGGUUCUCUCCGAAAUAGCUUUAGGGCUAGCCUCGGAAUUGAGAAUGAUGGAGGUAGAGCACUGUUUGGACUAGGGGCCCAUCUCGGGUUACCGAAUUCAGAUAAACUCCGAAUGCCAUUCAUUCAUAUCCGGGAGUCAGACUGUGAGUGAUAAGAUCCAUAGUCGAAAGGGAAACAGCCCAGACCACCAGCUAAGGUCCCAAAAUAUAUGUUAAGUGGAAAAGGAUGUGGGGUUGCACAGACAACUAGGAUGUUGGCUUAGAAGCAGCCACCAUUUAAAGAGUGCGUAAUAGCUCACUAGUCGAGUGACCCUGCGCCGAAAAUGUACCGGGGCUAAACAUAUUACCGAAGCUGUGGAGUACACCUUUAGGUGUAUUGGUAGGAGAGCGUUCUAAGGGCGUUGAAGGCAGAUCGUGAGGACUGCUGGAGCGCUUAGAAGUGAGAAUGCCGGUAUGAGUAGCGAAAGACAGGUGAGAAUCCUGUCCACCGAAUGACUAAGGUUUCCUGGGGAAGGCUCGUCCGCCCAGGGUUAGUCGGGACCUAAGCCGAGGCCGACAGGCGUAGGCGAUGGAUAACAGGUUGAUAUUCCUGUACCCGUUGUUUUUGUUUGAGCAAUGGAGGGACGCAGGAGGCUAAGGAAUGCAGACGAUCGGAAAUGUCUGUCCAAGCAGUAAGUCUGAAGAGGAGUCAAAUGCUUCUUUUCUUAAGGACAAGCUGUGAUGGGGAGGGAAAUAAUAGUACCGAAGUUCCUGAUGUCACACUGCCGAGAAAAGCUUCUAGUGAGAAAACAGCGGCCCGUACCGCAAACCGACACAGGUAGUCGAGGAGAGAAUCCUAAGGUGAGCGAGAGAACUCUCGUUAAGGAACUCGGCAAAAUGACCCCGUAACUUCGGGAGAAGGGGUGCUGAUCAUACGAUCAGCCGCAGUGAAUAGGCCCAAGCGACUGUUUAUCAAAAACACAGGUCUCUGCAAAAUCGUAAGAUGAAGUAUAGGGGCUGACGCCUGCCCGGUGCUGGAAGGUUAAGAGGAGUGCUUAGCGCAAGCGAAGGUACGAAUUGAAGCCCCAGUAAACGGCGGCCGUAACUAUAACGGUCCUAAGGUAGCGAAAUUCCUUGUCGGGUAAGUUCCGACCCGCACGAAAGGCGUAACGAUUUGGGCACUGUCUCAACGAGAGACUCGGUGAAAUUUUAGUACCUGUGAAGAUGCAGGUUACCCGCGACAGGACGGAAAGACCCCAUGGAGCUUUACUGUAGUUUGAUAUUGAGUGUCUGUACCGCAUGUACAGGAUAGGUAGGAGCCGUAGAAAUCGGAACGCUAGUUUCGAUGGAGGCGCUGGUGGGAUACUACCCCUGCGUUAUGGCCACUCUAACCCGCACCACUAAUCGUGGUGGGAGACAGUGUCAGAUGGGCAGUUUGACUGGGGCGGUCGCCUCCUAAAAGGUAACGGAGGCGCCCAAAGGUUCCCUCAGAAUGGUUGGAAAUCAUUCGAAGAGUGUAAAGGCAGAAGGGAGCUUGACUGCGAGACCAACAAGUCGAGCAGGGACGAAAGUCGGGCUUAGUGAUCCGGUGGUUCCGCAUGGAAGGGCCAUCGCUCAACGGAUAAAAGCUACCCUGGGGAUAACAGGCUUAUCUCCCCCAAGAGUCCACAUCGACGGGGAGGUUUGGCACCUCGAUGUCGGCUCGUCGCAUCCUGGGGCUGUAGUCGGUCCCAAGGGUUGGGCUGUUCGCCCAUUAAAGCGGCACGCGGAGCUGGGUUCAGAACGUCGUGAGACAGUUCGGUCCCUAUCCGUCGCGGGCGUUGGAAAUUUGAGAGGAGCUGUCCUUAGUACGAGAGGACCGGGAUGGACUUACCGCUGGUGUACCAGUUGUUCUGCCAAGGGCAUUGCUGGGUAGCUAUGUAGGGAAGGGAUAAACGCUGAAAGCAUCUAAGUGUGAAGCCCACCUCAAGAUGAGAUUUCCCAUUUCUUUAAGAAAGUAAGAUCCCUGAGAGAUGAUCAGGUAGAUAGGUCAGGAGUGGAAGUACAGUGAUGUAUGGAGCGGACUGAUACUAAUCGAUCGAGGACUUAACCAA
rnacentral:rRNA from 1 species